rnacentral:rRNA from 1 species
GACAGAGGGUGCAAACGUUGUUCGGAAUUACUGGGCGUAAAGCGCGUGUAGGCGGUGCGGUAAGUCGGGUGUGAAAGCCCUGGGCUCAACCCAGGAAGUGCAUUCGAUACUACCGUACUAGAGUCCCGGAGAGGUUGGUGGAACUCUCGGUGUAGAGGUGAAAUUCGUAGAUAUCGAGAAGAACACCGGUGGCGAAGGCGGCCAACUGGACCAUUACUGACGCUGAGGCGCGAAAGCGUGGGGAGCGAACAGG